AAUAGGUUGGGUCUGAAAAUCGACCUCUCAUGGGGCUUAAUUAGGAUUAGGGAUUCAGUUUUCGAAUUGGGGCUUAAUUGGGAUUAGGGAUUCAAAAGAAAAUCAAAGAGAAGAUUGCGGUUGGGUUCUCUUGAGAAAGAAAGGGAGCAUUCAUAAAUUCCACCCACAAGGAUGACAAACCUGAGAGUUUUCCCCCAUUUUCCUUCUCUGACUCCCUCUCCGUUCUCUUCCACUAGAUUUUAUGUUGGUAUCAGCUACUCGGUAUACUAGUCUUUCUCUCCGUUUGCAACCUCAUCAUCCUUAAUGAAAGUAAGGUUUUCUUAUCUUAUUGAGCUUGCCGACUGUGCUCAAGUUGCUAAGUUAUUGAGCUUGCAAAAAUCUGGAGACGAGUACAAAAGAUGAAGCACUUGAGUUGAUUAUUCCAAUGUUGAAAGUGGACAACAAGUGUUCAUUCAAAGAAAGAGACGGUUUGAACAAAGGGUGAUAAAAAUUGGUAUUGGUCACUGUGUGUUCUUGAUUCUAUCAAUCAAGAAAGGUAAUGAACCCUUGGCCUUUUUAGUUUUAUGUAUUGAUAGUUUAUAUGAAUGAGAAUAUUGAUUUUUGAAUCUUUUGAUGUUGGGAUUGAAAGGUUGUGUUGGGUGUAUGUAUGGGAGGUUUGAUCUAGGCAUGGUUAUGAUUUUGCGUGAGAUUUUGGAAUGAUAAUGUUCUUAUGUUCCUGGUAAUGAGUUUGAAAGGGAAGGUUGUUGUACACCUUGAAUAUCAACAUGUACUUUGUUGAGGCAGCUCAGGCAAAGCGAACUAACAAAAAGCCAUAAUCAGUGCGCCACGUGUUCUCCAUUCAUCCGGGGAAAUUUGGUAUGAUCCCUUAAACAAAUAGCUCGAGCUGAUGAGUCAUUUAGUAGCUUAUCACCUGGAACCAUUGUAUAGACAUGGCACCAAAAGACAUGAGCUAGCUUUAAAUUAAGCUCGUGGUACAUCAGAGGCCUGACAUACCCCAUGAUCUUUGUAAAGUUGACCACGCAAUAAAAACGUGUCUAUAACAGACAUCACGUGUUUGUUUAAUUCCUGAAUUCAUGGAUACGCAAUUUAAACAUGCGUGAUCAGACAUCACACACCUGAUUAAGGCCAUGCGGCCCAUUACCUUUUUUAUCUGAUUGAUUAGACUGCACCUCAGUGUAAAAUUUAGAUGUUAAUCAUCAAUAUCGCAGAAAUGAUGUGAAGGAUCAAGAGAUCACGGGAUGACUCCAUUACCUACCCAGAGAUCAUUCUCCUAUAAAUACUAGGAUCCUGGGUAGUGCAAGGGGGUUGGAUUCUUUCUGUAAUGCACAUACUCUGUAAAAAUAGCAAGAGAGAGAAACAGUAAUAAUAUUGACUCGUGGACUAGGGGGAUUUCAACCUCCGAACCACGUAAAAAAGAGGGAUCAUUUUUCUCUUUGUAGUUGGCUUUCAACAUCCUCGAAUAUUAUCAUUCUCUUAUUACGGUUUAUCAUUAAGCACUAAUCCAUCCUAGUUAUUCAUAUAAUUCACUGUUGGCGAAAAAUCGCGUCAACAAUUUGGUGCUUUCAUUGAGAGGAUUUAGAUUAGUGCUAUCACAAAAGAUUUAUCAUGGUUGUCACUUGUUCGAGACAUGGUAACGAGGUGGAUCAACAUGGGGGGCAGGAGGCUCACCAUACCGCCAUAUCCAACGAACAAGACCCGGAGAUUCAGCGACGAUCGGGGAAACAACCGAUGGGCCAUGACGACACCGGGAGUUUAGCGCCCCUAUCGCUAAAUCUGAACCCGGGUUACCUGACGGCGGUGGAAAUGGAAAACAUGCAGUUGAUGAGCCAUCUAGCCAAAGCAAAUAAGCAAAUCGAGGAAGUCUUGGCCCGGCUACCCCCUCUUACGACCGACGUUAACGUCAGAAAGAGGCAAGGCAGGACUCACAAGUCCCGCCGGGAUAGUCGGCCUAGGCCCAGUCGAUCAGUUAGAACCUCAACCCCGAGUUCUAUGCCCAUGUCACACCAUCACCAGGAAACUAUGUUUGAUGAUUUUCCCAGGGCCCAUCAACGAGUCAACCGGUCAGUCAGAACUUCAACCCCAAGUUCGGCUCCACCAUCGAAUGCACCCAGGAGAGCCUGCGAUGGUUCAAGGAGGAGAUCUAGGGGGAGCUCGCAUGGCCAACCUGCUCUGGCUAGCCCCCCCCCCCCCCCGCGUAGCGAUUGGAUCGCCAGCCGCAGAGGGCUGGAGGUGCUGGAGCAGAGAGACAGCGGGCUAGUUUGGUCCGACCUCACGGAACUAGAAUUGCAUCACCGAUCAGACAUCCUCCUUCGCCGAUAAGAUAUCCAUCUCCUCCUCAUCCAGCUCGAGACAUUCCUGGAUACAGAAACAGCUGGAGGAAUCUUCCUCCCGCCGUUCUUGCUCAUCACCCACGAGCACACGAAAAUGUCCCAGAUUCUCACCCUCGACAGCUGGCCCCGAGCUUUUCCAAUGGGAGCUAUUGGACCGAAAGCCACCGAAGUGGCAGAUCUGGUGGAGACCUGAGAAAUCAUCUAAGUUUGACACAAAGCCCUCGAGCCGCCCCGCGGACCGACCUUCGAGAUCGCCUCAACUCGCAAAGGGGAGAGCCAACCAGAAACGAAAGUCAUACUCACCGAGAGGAUGGUCCUUCCGAAAUAUGUGACAACGGGAAUGUCCCACCAAACCAAGCUCAAGCUUGGAGGGGCAAUAACCCGCCUAACACGUACAAUGGGAUGGGAGCUGUUGAACAGCCCCAGAACAACCCAAGGAUCAAAGACCAAACCCUCGAAAGGUUAGCUCAGAUGGAGGAACUAAUGAAGAGGCUCCUAUCAGAGAAGGGAAAAGACGAAUACGACUCGGGGGAGGGGGACGAGCUCGAGCUCUUUACCCCCAACAUCGCAGCAACGGCGUACCCACCGGGGUUCAGGAUGCCCCAUCUAUCCAAAUUCGAUAGGGACGGAGAUCCGUCGGAUCAAUUGGGGAUGUUCAACACCCUGAUGAUGGCCCAUAAUAUCGAGCCCGAGCUGAGAUGCCUGAUAUUCCCUUCGACUCUGAUCGGGCCAGCUAGGCAAUCGUUCAAGCAAUAUAAAAAAUAGUCUAUCAGCUCGUGGAAGAGUUUCUCUACCGAUUUCAAGAGGGCAUUCCGAGCCUCUCAAGCAGUUCGCGUCAAAGAGGAUUCCCUAACGAACGUGAAGCAACAGCCCGGAGAACCCUUAAAAGCUUAUCUGAGUAGGUUCGCCAACGUUGCGGCUCGAGCUAGGGACGCGGACGAAAGUUCCAGACUCAUGGCUAUGAGAACUGGAAUCCUUGUUGGGGGCGAGCUGUGGAAAGAAAUCCAGAGGAAAGGUGUCAGCACCGUGGAUGAAUUCCUGAACAAGGCCCAAAGAUGGAUAAACUUGGAAGAAGCGCGAGCAUCGGUUGCGGGAACCGGCCAAGCCUCUGACCAGCCCGCUGGAGCAGAAACGAACGUCAUAACAAUGACUCAAACCGUUCCCCAUAAUAACCAGGGGGGAGGAAGCAAGAGAAAGGGAAGUGGUGAGGGCGGCUAGCACAGUCCAAAGAAGAACAAGCCUGUGGAGAAGUUCAAACCGGUCUACACGGCCUAUACCGACCUCACAGACACUGGAGAACACAUUUUCCUAGCGAAUUCUGCCUGCCUUCCCUGGAAAAAUCCAAAGCCCUUGAAAAAUCAGAAGGCUAAGAGAGACCCUUCCAAAUUCUGUCGAUUCCACAAUGACAUCGGUCACAACACCGAUGAUUGUAGGCAUCUGAAGGAUGAGAUCGAGACAUUCAUUCGGGCCAGACCCCUGGCUCAGUAUGCCCGAAAUCGGGUCACUCCUAAUCAACCCGCCAGGCAAACACAUUCAAUCAGCUUCGGAAGUCCCAGCAAAUCCGACCGGAGCCCAAGUGGGUUAGGACAUCCCCCCUCCAAUAAUAGAAUGAGAGAUAACCACCAUUUCUGGAGGCCCUCAUUUGGCAGGCUCGAGCAAAGGUGCUCACAAAAGAUACAUCAACGAAUUGAAGUCUCAUAACAGAGUCGAAUUUGUCCCAGAGCAGCACAUACCCAAACAACAGCGAUUGGAGAGACAACCAAUUAGUUUCACCGAAGAAGAUGCUAGUCAUGUCCAUUUCCCACAUAACGAUCCUCUAGUCAUAACCGCCCAGCUCACCAAUUGGAGAGUUAGGAGGAUACUAGUUGAUAAUGGGAGUUCAGUGAACUUGUUGUUUUAGUCCACGCUAGAAAAAAUGGGGCGGUCGGUAACCGAGCUGAAGGCCACCUCCAUCAUGUUGUAUGGGUUUUCUGGCGAAGGGUCGGCAGCGAUAGGAACAAUUGAGUUGGUAAUAACCUUGGGAGAGGGACCCCGAACUGUCUCCAAGCUCCUCGAGUUUGUGGUCAUCGAUUCUCCCACUGCGUAUAAUGCAAUUUUGGGUCGGCCUACGUUGAUGGCAUUUGAAGCCAUAACUUCUAUCCACCACCUCGCAGUCAAAUUCCCCUCCUCCACGGGGAUAUGUAUGGUCCGAGGCGAUCAACUCGCUGCCAGGGAAUGCUAUAGCAUUUCCAUGAAGGGAAAAUCACAACUCGGACAGCAAAUGAUGGUCAUUCAAGGCGGAAGCGAGCAACCCUAGGAAGUGAGAACUAGCCCUGGGAUAAAGGAAUCUCAGCCAGCCGACGGCGUAGGUACCACCCUGAGUGACGAUAUUGUUUUAUAGAAAUUGGUAUGUUUUAUAGGUACCAUGAUAAAAUUGACAUGUUUUAUAGAAAUAUCGUUUUAUUAAAAGAUCAAUUUUGUGUUUCCCUUUAUUGUGUUUUUCGGAAUUAAACUUUCCCCUUCUUGUGAUUUGUGGAAUAUUUACAUUCAUUAUAUUAACUUUAUUUGAUUAUAAAGGGAAGUAAUAUCUUGGAAAUAUUCAGUACUUACUCAAAAUCCUUAUUGGAAUAUUUGACAUUAUAUUUGCGUGCAACUCAAGAAUUGAAAUUCAGGAAACUGAAUCUUUAAUGUCAUUAAUUGUUCUUUCUAUUUUGAGCAUGUUUUUUAUU